rnacentral:rRNA from 1 species
CCAAUAGCGUAUAUUAAAGUUGUUGCAGUUAAAAAGCUCGUAGUUGAAUUUCGGGAUCAAUAGGUCGGUCAUGCCGUCGGUAUGUACUGGCCUUAUUGGUUCUUACCUUCUAAUGAACCGCAAUGUCAUUAAUUUGAUGCUACGGGGAAUCAGGACGGUUACUUUGAAAAAAUUAACGUGUUUAAAGCAGGCUCACGCUUGAAUACAUUAGCAUGGAAUAAUGAAAUAGGACGUUUGAUCCUAUUUUGUUGGUUUCUAGGAUCGACGUAAUGAUUAAUAGGGAUAGUUGGGGGCAUUAGUAUUCAAUUGUCAGAGGUGAAAUUCUUGGAUUUAUUGAAGACUAACUACUGCGAAAGCAUUUGCCAAGGAUGUUUUCAUUAAUCAAGAACGAAAGUUAGGGGAUCGAAGACGAUCAGAUACCGUCGUAGUCUUAACCAUAAACUAUGCCGACUAGGGAUCGGAUGAUGUUAAUUUUUUAAUGACUCAUUCGGCGCCUUACG